rnacentral:lncRNA from 1 species
UCCUUUCCCUUAUAAUCCCUUUUACUAUUUCUUAUAUUCCCCAUUUGAGUGAAACCAUAUGAUGAUUGUCCUUCUCUGAAUGACUUACUUCACUCAGCAUAAUACCUUCCAGUUCCAACCACACUGAAGCAAAUGGUGGGUAUUUGUCCUUUCUAAUGACUGAGUAAUAUUCCAUUGUAUACAUAGACCACAUUUUCUUUAUCCAUUCAUCUAUUGAAGGACAUCAAGUCUCCUUCCACAGUUUGGCUAUUGUGGACAUUGCUACCUAAACAUUAGGGUACAGGUGUCCCAGUGUUUCACCACAUCUGUAUCUUUGGGGUAAAUACCCAGUAAUGCAAUUGCUGGGUCAUAUAGCCUUAGUCUUUUUUAAGUAAUUUUUUUAGUAUUGGCAUGCCCAUUUGGGACAAGUACCAGGACAUACUUAUAUUAAAAUUUUGUUGCUUAUCUGAAACUCAAAUGUAACUGGGAUUCCAUGCUUUUUUCUGCAAAAUUCAGUGGAAGUCUUGUUUGAUAUCGUGUUAAUUUUAGAAUGGAAAAAAGGAGUCUGUUGGGCAAAUGUUUGAGAAGUUCAGAUUCAAUUACUUUUGCAUGGUUUGUUUAUUCAUUCCUUUCAGAUUUUUAAUAUUGCUACAAUGUGCUGUGAAUCUCUACUAGAGAGAGCCAUAUGAUGCAGGUGUUCAUCUAUUAACUAUCUAUUAUCCAUCUAAUUAACCUAUUUUCUUUUCUUUAUUACUUCUUUUUUUUUUUAAAAAAAAUGAAACCUUUUAUUGCAGAACAUCUGGCAGGAUGAUCAUUUUCUGAAAGUAUUUUGGAAAACACCGAUGAGGAGCUACAACUGGGUGACUCCGGGAAGUCAGCCAGCAAGGAAUCUCUACAUCCGACGUGGAGCUCAAACUCACGACCCAAGAUCAAGAGUCCCAUUCUCUACUGACUGAGCCAGCCAGGUACCCUGUUGUAUUUUAAAUUAGCUUGUAUCUCCUCUUGGGAAACUGGGGAAAUUGGAUAUUUUUAGACUAAAUGAGCCAACAGUUAUCUUUCAGUCCUGGCUAAAGCCCAAUGCUAUGUUGUUCACUAGCUGAGGAAUGGAGAAAAAUAGGAGAAGGGAUAGCAAGGGACAAUAUCAUGACAAUUGUUCUAGGACAACCUCUUCUUUAACAGAUGGAUCAGAGGCUCAGAAAGCUAGGUGAGUUAAAGUAAAGGUAUUUAAUAAGGAUUUAUGGAUUGCUUUUGGAGAGCUAACAUUUUCUGGUCCUACAAUCUAUAUGAUGCCUAUGGAGAUACAGGGACAAGGAGAUCAGGGCUAGUUCAAAGUUAGCUGACUUGUGAGGACAGCUCAUUGACUGAAGACUGCCCAGUGCUGUGUGGCUCCUGUGAGUGGGGUCUGUGAUAACUGCUCUGUCUGCAGAGGGCCGUGGGCUCUAGGACAGGCUCCUAAGAGAGUUCAGCGUUAGUAUCACCCGGCUGCUAUUGAAAUGCUAUAAUAUUGAUUAUAUUCAGAAUAAUUUCUUUUUUCCUUUACCAAUUAGUAAAUUAGCACCAGUUUAUUAAUAUAUUUUAAAAAUUAUUAUUGGGCCCUUUUGUGGGUCAGGU